rnacentral:sRNA from 1 species
AUAUUCUUCCUAUGCGGAAGGAUGAGAAGCUUCGACCAAGGUUCGAUUCGAGCGUUAGCGAGAAAGCGUUGCCGCAGGCAACGACCCGAAGGGCGAAGCGCGCAGCGCUGAGUAAUCCUUCCCCCACCACCA